GAGAAGCAGCUGUGAAGUCAUAAUUAUGUUCACUUCCCACUGGCAACUGGCAAGCCCUUUAUUUUUGUGUAUUUGGAGCUCACCAAGAAUAAAGUCCAUUCCCUCCUUGAGGGGCCAUUAUGCCAUUCCAUCUAGGAAUUCACAGUUUGCCAGUUCCUAAAACAUUUAUUGUUAUAAAUAGCUUUGUGCUCUUAAAAGGGGGGUGGGGGGCUUAUGAAAUGAAGUAAGGGGAAAAUCUCAAAAGAAUAUGAAAAAAAAUCAACAUCAUCUCCAAGAUAUAGCAACAAAUUUGCUAGCUUUUAAAAACUUAUAAUUAUCAUUGGUGGUUAAUUGGUGCCAUAGAUUACACAGUACUGACAUGUAAUUUUCUAAAACAAAGAGCUUUUUAUUGUGUUACAUUGUGCUGUAGAUUUAGGGACUUUUUAUUUUAUUUUUACACAUUGAAGAACAAAGGGUGAAAGUCUUGAAACAUGCAAGGAUUUAGAUAAUGAAUUGCACCCUAAAUUUAGAAAAUAUAUCAGACAAUACAGAAUGAUUCAUGGUAGGAAUUUGUGAUCCUGCAAAGGCAAGUUAUUGGGACUUUUGUUUAUAAAUAAGCCAACUUCUCUUGGCUCAGACCUGGAUGUGAGCCAGCAACAGUAAUGAACAUUUCUUCUGCUUCACACAGACCUUCAAAAAGGUCAGAACCAGAGUACUUUAUUUAUGUUUUAUGGGAAGAUGUAUUUAAUGUUUGUGAAUCCAUUUGGAUAAUAACAUUGAUUUUAAUGGGCUGAUAGAUGUAUUUGUCUUUUAAUGUCCAUUAUGAUAAUGAUCACCUAGAGCCUAUGAAAAAUUCAACAUUUACUUGUUGAUUAGUCUGUUUUUUCUUCAUAGGUGCUCUUGCUUCUUAACCAAAAUUUUUAGGAAUCACUAGCCUCUCAAAAGGUAACCCCAUUUGUCUGAGGGUAUGAACAGACUGUAGAUUCACGAUUCUGACUUUACCCUUUGUCUGGAAAAGCAACCUUGGAUUUGGUAUUUAAUGUUUUCUUUGCUGUCUGGCCUGUGAAGAAACACUUCUGAGGGGAGAUGGAUGUUUGUCUAUGACUCUAUUGUUUAAAGAGUGGGGCUCUUUCUGCAUGAAGGUCAGAAAGAAAGACUGGGAGCCCAAAUGAAAGCAUUCGUACUUUGUAAACAUAGGCCACAUGCCCCAGUCUGAAUUGAAUUGAUGGUAAUGCUGCAAAGCAAAAUGUAGCAAACUUGGGAAUGAACCCAGAAGGCACAGGGCCUGAGUAAACUAAAAAGAAAGCAAAGGGAGACCUCAGGAGCCCUCUGCAUCUAAGAUGAGUUUCUCUUUUGAAUUUUAUUUCUUAAAGAAGAGUAUCACACACAGAGAUGUACUCAUGGAAUUUGCAUUCAGUAAGUGAUGACUUUUUGACAUUUAGUUCAAGUUUUCUUUCAAGAGAAAUGGUCCAACUGGUACUUUGGAAUUACUUCGUAAUUAAGCAGACCUUUUGGUAUACCAUAUGCAACCACCAAAUCUAAAGUCAUGGGUCCUAUAGCCUUUCCAGCAUUUUUAAAUCUCAUGUUUUAGGGUGAUUUAAUAUUUUAUUUAGAGAAAAAGACAGUGAAAUACAGGCAGUAUGCAUUUAAGCAUAAAAAAUAUUCUUUCACACAGAUAAUGAGAACUCUGACCCCGAUUUGCUAUUCCAGUGGGAGCUGCAACCAGCACCACUACCAGCCAUAAUAGCCAAUGGAUUGGCCAUUCCACAGUGGGCUUCACUUGAAGUCAAUAGAUAAAUCCAGGAGACAGAGCAAGAAAACAUAAAUAAAGACAAUAGUAAAUAAAGGAAGUAAAAUAAAUAUGCAUCUGUAGAUAAAGUGAUAAAAUAAAUUAAUAAAUUAAUGGCGAUAAGGCAUCAAUUUUCCGUCUGAUUUACAUGACCUCAUUUGCACUUUUUUUUAUUUUAGAGAGAGGGAGUGUGAGUGGGGGAGGGGCAGAGAGAGAGGGAGUGAAAGAAUCCCAAGCAGGCUCCAUGCUCAGUGUGGAGUCCCACAUGGGGCUCCAUCCCACGACCCUGGAAUCAUGACCUGAGCCAAAAUCAAGAGUUGAAUGCUCAACCGACUGAACCACCCACGUCCCCCCUCAUUUGUACUUUUAUACUGGUUUGCUCUAAAAUGGUAACUGCGAAUUGGUUGAAUUGGUACUGUAGUCACUGGUUAAGAUUUGUCAGUAGGAAUAUUACAUGGUACCACAGGGUCACCUUGCUUUCCUAUCUCUGAAGUUCCUUUAGUUCUUUUAUUUAUUCACCAAUUUAUUUAUUCAACAAGCCUCCAUUAAACAUCUGCCAUGAUUCAAAUUUUGAGUCUCUCCCUUCCUUAAAAUUGCAAAUUAUACAUGUAAGAAAUCAAUUUAAAAAAAUAAAUAAAUGUGCUUUUAAUUUUCAUCUCCAUUAAGAAGAAAUGUGUGCUUUUUUUUGUUUUUUUGCCUUUUUCGUUUUCAGAGGUAAAUAUGCUACUAUUCUGUACAUUUUUAAUCUUUAUAGGAACAGUCUGGAAAGUUUUGGGGAAGGGCAGAGUUUAUCAUAUUAACUUCAAAAGGUCAGGUAUGUACCUCAAUUCUCAUUUGUUUCCAUUAAGAAUAUGUUAGGAAUCCAUAAACUUAUAUAAACUUUAAAAUAUUCUGAGAUUUGGUGAGGAAAUCCAAGUCUACCCAGUUCAAACCUGUAGGAUAUGCCAAACUCCAAUUGUUUUAUCUUAAAUUAUUUUUUUUAAUAUUAUUUACUUUUGAGAGAGAGAGAGAGAGAGAGAGCAUGAGCAGGGGAGGGGCAGAGAGAGAAGGAGACACAGAAUCCGAAGCAGGCUCCAGGUUCUGAGCUGUCAGCACAGAGCUGGACACAGGGCUUGAACUCGCGAACCGUGAGAUCAUGACCUGAGCCGGUUGGCCACUCAACCGACUGAGCUACCAGGUGCCCCAAAACUUCUUAUUAAAUGUCAGGUAUUUGCUUUCCAAAUCGUAGAACAAGUAAGAGCACUGUGGUUAGAGAAACCCUGUCCCCUGCCCAAAGUCUUUCCAAAUCUGCUCAUUUAACCUCUUCGGUAUGUCAUUUGCUUCCUGAAGCAAGACUAACAGUACUUCUUUUCUCUGGUCUGUCUCUUAACAAAAAUGUGAAGUAAUCAGAAUAUAGCGCACUUGUUGUCAGCUCCCCUUUCUGUGUUCCUUUCUCCUCCACACUCCCACUGAUUUUCCACCUAUAGGUGGAUGUGACUCAGAGGAAAUGAAGAAACAUUAUAUUUCCUGCACCCUGUAUUGUGGAAUAAAUUAAAAUCUGCCAACAGUUGUUCAUUGCAUAUGUACAAUGGAUAAAAGAGCUAAGGUCUGGGGGUUCAAAGAUAAAAAACACAGUUCAUACUCCUGAGUAAAUAGGCAAUUUCAGGGAUGGGACAGAAACAAUCAUAUAAGCCCAAUGUGAUGUGCUGUAAUUUAGGCAUAGAUAAUAUGCUCCUAGGGCAAAGAGGAAGGAAUAAUUCCAACAAAUUGGAUGGGAAUAGCUGGGAGGUGCUGAGGCAAAUUUCUUGGAGCCUAUAGCAUUUGAACUGAUCUGGAAGGAUGAUUAUAAAAGAUUUCAAUUGACAGAGAAAGCAAAGGUAGAGAAAACUGCAUGAGCCAAUGCAAGAACAUUCUUACAUUCUCAGCUUUUUAUAUUCUCACAGGACAUUAUCUUUAGCAAUGUAAAAAUGAUUACACAAGGUAAUAAACAAUCUAUAGAGUGAUCAAGAAAAAGGCCUCUGGGACUAAAUAUUCUGCCUUCAAUCACUAGACUAAGACCUAGGCUAAGGGGAUUAACUCUCUAUUCUGUAAUAUUGCCAAUUAUGCAAUAAGGAUAAGAAGAACACUUCCCCAUUGGAGCAUUCUUUAUAGUUACUUUUAUAAAGACUUAAGUGUAUGGAAAUCUGGGCCCAGUGACUGACUCACAAACACUCAAUAAAUGAUUCUAAUGUUUUCUUAUCAUCAUUAUUAUUUCUGCCAAUAAUAAUUGUAUACCUAAUAAAAAUAAUUAUUUCUCCACAAAAUCAAGAGGCAAUUUAAAUAUAAAACAAAAUUUUAAACUAAAGGUAUUUAUACUUAAUAGAAUUUUUAACUCAGUUACCUGAUGGGAAAAGGAUUUAGGAGAAAGAAGGGAAACAUUCUAGCAUCUUUCAAAUCACAUGAGGUAGUUGACUCUAUAUUCCAAAGGUUUACUAUCUUUGCUCAGUGGCAUUCAUAUUGCCAUAGAGAAGAUUUGCUGGUUCCAGGGCAUUAUGCUGACAUAUAGAAUAUUCCAUCUACAUAAGAUUUGGGUUAUGGAGCUUUAGAAUUAUUAAUUCCAGUGAUGAUAGUAUGGUUCCUUGGGUUACUAAUUAAAGUAUGGAAUGAGGAGGACAAUGAACACACUCUCUUUUUCACUAAAGAAAAAAUCAGUAUCUUUCAAGAGCUAUUAAACCAAACUCAACUAAAUAUUUUUGAAAUAUGUGUUAAUUCUUUCCACAAAUUUGCUAAAUAAGAAGGAGGGGAAUCUUAUAAGUCUUCAAGCAAAUAAUGAGACCCUGUGGGGUCUCGUCAAGCCCUACUCUGUUCUAUAGCUCACAGAAUGGGUCCAGCAGAAGGAAUUUAGGGGAAAAAAUGCUAAUCCUCACCACAAUGAUGGCCCUAUCCAGCCACUGUACAAGCUUCAGCAUCUAGGACUGGCUUCUGUUCCCAAGUGUCCUGUCAUCUCCCCUCUAUAACACUCUUUCAUCUGAAUGUUAUUCAGAGAGAAUUCUAUUACUAUCUAUCAGUUGCACAGUCAGCAUGUAUAUUCUUUUGCCUAUCCACAGAAAUUGUGGAAGCACCAGCAUUUCUUCAGCCCUUCUAAAUCAGUACUUGAUAGUUCACUCAAUCCAUAUUUUAGUUUGAACAUACAGGCUCUACUUGUAUCUGAUAGUAUUUAUUUAAUUAACAAAUUAGAAAUAAUUCCUGUGUCUUCUAACUGUAUCUAAGAAAAUUUUCCCUUUACCACACCAUUUUAGAAUGUUUAUUUACAAUAUGCUAGAAAGAUAAUCAUAUUCUUAGCAAUUUUUAAUUAAUAUAAAAUGUAUAGUAUCCUGAAGUUUAUUUUGUUAUAGCUAUAUCUGUCAUUUUUUAAAGAAAGCCUCUGCCCAGAAAAUGUGGAAGAAAUCAUCUGUCUCAAGAGCUUGGUGUUCUUGACUAUUCUGAAAUUCUUUAAAUAAAAUAUAAUAUGGAAGAUGUGUUCUGCAUGUCAAGACUGUUUCACUGUGAGGCCUUCAGAGCCAGAAAACAGGCUUAAGAUAAUUAGACAUGAACAAAACACUUUAGCCACUUUUUUUUUCAUCUAAUAAGGAAGUGAUUAUUAUAAGAUGGGCCAUGAGUGCCCAGACAACAGGUAUAGAUUCUUUCUAAAAUUAAUUUUAAAAAUAGGCAAUAUCUUCUUAAGAAUCUCGGCAUUUAAAUCCUCUCUCUUUACAUGUUUUUGCAGGAAACAUGGAAUGUAUGAAAGAAGAUGAAUAUAAUCAAUAGCAGUUUAAUAACACAUUUACCUGAAUUAAUCAGAUUAUCCACAAACAGCUCAUUAGCGGCAAUAGAAGUCUAUGGAGAAUGAAUCUAAUAUGGGGCUGUAAGUAAGUCUCUAAUAUUUCAAGGAAGAUUUUUCUGUUAAUCACAUAUGAAAGAUGCAGUCACUCAUGAUAAAUAAUUGUUGGUCCUCCUAAAAAACAUGGGGCAACUCAGGGGCACCUCAGUAAGUUUUUACUGCACCAAAGAUAACAAAUUCAUGAACAAAAAAGAGAUUUUUCAAUCUAGAGGAAAAGAUGAAAGGUUUUAAGCGGCGGUGGUCAUCACCAGGAAAACUCUGGUUAAGUUAACAGUUUUCUAGGAAGACACCAUUGCGGACGACACCGCAGAAAUCAACCUAACCUGGAAGUUCAUUGUGUGUUCCAUUUAACUUUUCUUUUUCUUUUUUUUUUUUUUUUUUCAACAUUUAUUUAUUUUUGGGACAGAGAGAGACAGAGCAUGAACGGGGGAGGGGCAGAGAGAGAGGGAGACACAGAAUCGGAAACAGGCUCCAGGCUCCGAGCCAUCAGCCCAGAGCCUGAUGCGGGGCUCGAACUCACGGACCGCAAGAUCGUGACCUGGCUGAAGUCGGACGCUUAACCGACUGCGCCACCCAGGCGCCCCCCAUUUAACUUUUCUAUAUGGCAGCAAACUCCUUGUUGUAAGGUCCUACUGGGAAUGAAGUGACCCAUUCCCCAACUCAUUCAUAGAGGCACAAAAGUGAAGACUGAUGUAUUCAUUAUGCUGUUGUUGUUUUUGAACUACAGAAACUUCAAUAUUCCUUAGCUGUGAACAACUAAUAAUGGAUUAUUUCCCUUACUUGAUACUAUCUGUAAGGUUUUUUCUUUUUAUUAAGACUUUGGUUAUUUUUAAAAGCAAUUUAAGGUGUAUAGCAAAAUUAGGGGUAAGGUACAGAGAUUUCCUGUAUACCCCUGCCACCACAGGUGUGUAGCCUUUCCCAUUGUCCAUGUAAUGCACCAGAGUGGUACAUUGGUUACAACUGAUAUAACUACAUUGACACAUCAUAAUCACCCAAAGUCCAUAGUUAUUACUAGGGCUCACUCUUGGUGUGUUCAUUCCUUGGGUUUGGGCGAAUGUAUAAAGAAAUGUAUCCAUCAUUCUGAUAUCAUCCAGAGUUUUUUCACUCUCCUAAAAAUCUUCUGGACUCUGCCUAUUCAUCCUCCCCUCCCCCCCCCCCCCCCCCCCCACCAUGAUCCAAGUCCUAACAACCACUGGUCUUUUCACCAUAAGAUAAUAGUUUUUGUCGUUGUUCUUGUUUAGCCAGGAGCUCUCCAUAGUUUUGUCUUUUAAAGAAUGUCCUAUAGUUGGAAUCAGAUAAUAUGUAGCUUUUCCAGAUUGUCUUCUUUCACUUAGUAAUAUGCAUUUAGGUUUCUUUCAUGUGUUUUCAUGACUUAGUAGUUCAUUUCCUUUUAGCACUUAGUAGUAUUUCUUUGUGUGGAUGGACCACACUUUAUUCAUCCAUUCACCUACUGAAGAACAUUGUGCUUCCAUGUUUCUACAGUUAUGAAUAAGUCUGCUACAAACAUCCAUAUGUACAUUUUUGUGCGAACAUAAGUUUUCAGUUCCUUCAGGUAAAUACCAAGGAGUUAAUUGCUGAUCGUCCGGUAAGAACAUGUUUAGUUUUAUGAUAAAAUUGUCAAACUAUCUUCCAAAGUGUCUGUGUCCUCUGAGCCAUCUUCAUCACUCACUGGGGACAUGUAUCAUUCUAAGCCAAUGAUAUCAACCAUAACUGCACUGUGAACAGUAAUCCUAUCUUUCUCUCAGCAUUCCCUUUCCUCCUAAUUAAGGGUGUUAUGCAUAGAUGUUCUUCUUUCUUCUCUGACUUUCAUCACUUAAAACUUUGUUGAUUUCACCUGAGACAAACCUACAUCCAUAUUUAACCAUCUUUACUGCUUCCUUUUCCCUUUCAACUCUUCCCCACUUACCUGACUAAAAUUUCUAUUCCAUUUUUCUGUUUCUUCUUCUAUAAAUUCCAGAAAUGGCCCCAAUUUGAACAGAAAAUACAAGAAUAAUUCAAAUAAAAAGAAAGCCAUGUUUCAAAGGUAAUUUAUAUAUAAUUAGAAAAAAACCAAUGCCUUUAUCUUCAAAAAUUCCUAAAAAUAUUCUGACUUCCCUUUCAGAAUUUCUAUAAAAUAUAUCAACUAUAUCUUCCUUCUCUUUUUAGUAAUCAAGCUUCUUAUUAAGCUAUACAUAUUCGAAAUAAAUAGCACACUAGUUUAUCCAAUUGGAGUUGACAUUCUAUUGCAUAUAUUACAUUAUAAACCCUUAAGGUAUAUUAUAUGUUAAUUACACUUUGGAAGUUAGCCUAAAAAUCUAACUGCAGUGGUCAAACAACUAAUUCACUAGGAUACUUUUAGAAAAUAACUAAUUUUCAAGUUGGGGGUUUAUUGUAUAACUGUAUGAAAUCAUAAAUCUCAAAGUUUUUAAACUAUAUAACUUCAGUAUCAAGAUACUUCAUAUUUUUGCUAGGCUGCCCUCCGUGUUCAACUUUAUCUCUAGUGACUAUAUCAAAAUAGAACAGAUCUGAAAGCAAAAACAAAGAAUUGAACUCCAAACAUGAAACAAGUAACAAACAGAAAAUAUCUCUGAGAAAUGCCUUAUAAUUCUAAAGUAAAUGUAGGAAUACAUUUUCACAGAAAUACUGCUUAUGAAAUUAAACCGGUUACAAACAAUAAGGGAAUAAUUUGAAAGAGCCAUUAAUUAGAUUAAUGGAACAAUUUCACUCUCCCUUUAUCUCUAGAUGCCAUAUCCAGCAUAAUAAAUUAUACUGAAGUUCAUUGUUGUUGUUUUUAUUUCAGUCUGGUCAAAAAUACUGAGUGAAAUACAAAAAGCAGAUGAACAAAUGAAGUCCAAAUGAAUUAAGUAU
rnacentral:lncRNA from 1 species